GACGAACGCUGGCGGCGUGCCUAACACAUGCAAGUCGAACGAGGUCCAUGGGUGCUUGCACCCGGAAGACCUAGUGGCGAACGGGUGAGUAACACGUGAGAAACCUGCCCCAGACUCUGGGACAACCCAAGGAAACUUGAGCUAAUACCGGAUAUUCUCCUUUGGUCGCAUGGCAAGUUGAGGAAAGUUUUUCGGUCUGGGAGGGUCUCGCGUCCUAUCAGCUUGUUGGUGAGGUAACGGCUCACCAAGGCGACGACGGGUAGCUGGUUUGAGAGAACGAUCAGCCACACUGGAACUGAGACACGGUCCAGACUCCUACGGGAGGCAGCAGUGGGGAAUCUUGCGCAAUGGGCGAAAGCCUGACGCAGCAACGCCGCGUGCGGGAUGAAGGCCUUCGGGUUGUAAACCGCUUUCAGCAGGGACGAAAACGACGGUACCUGCAGAAGAAGCUCCGGCUAACUACGUGCCAGCCGCCGCAGUAA
rnacentral:rRNA from 1 species